AGAGUUUGAUCAUGGCUCAGAAUCAACGCUGGCGGCGUGCCUAACACAUGCAAGUCGAACGAGAAAGUGGAGCAAUCCAUGAGUAGAGUGGCGCACGGGUGAGUAACACGUGACUAACCUACCCUUGAGUGGGGGAUAACCUGGGGAAACCUUGGCUAAUACCGCAUAACACCUACGGGUCAAAGGAGCAAUUCGCUUAAGGAGGGGGUCGCGGCAGAUUAGUUAGUUGGCGGGGUAAUGGCCCACCAAGACGGUGAUCUGUAUCCGGCCUGAGAGGGCGCACGGACACACUGGAACUGAAACACGGUCCAGACUCCUACGGGAGGCAGCAGUGGGGAAUUUUGCGCAAUGGGGGAAACCCUGACGCAGCAACGCCGCGUGGAGGAUGAAGUCCCUUGGGACGUAAACUCCUUUCGACCGGGACGAUUAUGACGGUACCGGAAGAAGAAGCCCCGGCUAACUUCGUGCCAGCAGCCGCGGUAAUACGAGGGGGGCGAGCGUUGUUCGGAAUUAUUGGGCGUAAAGGGUGCGUAGGCGGUUCGGUAAGUUUCGUGUGAAAUCUUCGGGCUCAACUCGAAGCCUGCACGAAAUACUGCCGGGCUUGAGUGUGGGAGAGGUGAGUGGAAUUUCCGGUGUAGCGGUGAAAUGCGUAGAUAUCGGAAGGAACACCUGUGGCGAAAGCGGCUCACUGGACCACAACUGACGCUGAUGCACGAAAGCUAGGGGAGCAAACAGGAUUAGAUACCCCAGUAGUCC
rnacentral:rRNA from 1 species